rnacentral:tRNA from 2 species
GGGAUUGAUGGUUGUUGUUGCGGCUGUCGUUGAAAUCGGCGGUCAAUUCCGCAUUGUGCGGAUCGAUGCCGACCUUG